GGGGCAGGGGUGGGGGAGCUCCAUUGUGCUGUAGAGAGGAUUACAGCUUCCAUCUGCUUCAUAAUGUAAAAAAUGUGGGUAGGCCUCCAUGUUCAGAGCUUUGAGUCUCCAAUGAAUAGUGGCAGUUCAAGGUUUUUGGUAUUUGAUCUGAAGCAUUGCCAGACGUUUGUUUUAUCAUUUAGUUUUCUUAAUAGGCCAGCACCCCUUGCCAUGUGAGCAGAACAGUGACUUGCUAACUUUAGCACUAUGGUAUAUAGAAGAAAGAGCGUAUUUAAAAUGGAAAUGUAACGGUAGUACUUAUGGCACAAAUUUUCCAUACUCUCUCUUAAGUCAUGUACUUCACAAUAUAUCUGUACAGAUAUGCAGCUGUAGAUUAGUUUGAAUUGUAACCAUGUGCUGGUACUUAGGUUGCAAGGCAAACGUUGCACAGCAGUCACGGAAAAGCUCAACCUUAUGAAUUUCGUCCAGUCAUGCAGCUUUUAAAGAGCACAGGAUCCGCUCCCAGAAAUAAGUCUGACAAUUGUACCCUCUUCUUACAUUUGCAGCAUUGUUUUGUUUGCUUGUUGCAUUGACAUUAUGGAUUAUAGAAUGCUUUGGUCCAGGGCUCUAUUGUGAAGAACCAGAACCCAGAAAUGCAGAACCUGGCAUGAGAUAUUAAUGGAAUUGGACUCCUUGUCUGCCAGUGACACACAAAUAACAUGUAAUGGUUCCAGAACCAAGCGGCUAAGCCAAGGACUGCCCCAAACACACUGUAUGUGCGCAAGUACAUUUGCAUGCACACAGAUCUGAUUGAAAGACCAACAGUGGAGAAAAAAGGCAACAAAAUCGAGUGGCUGGAGCAUGAUCUGGAUCAAGACUACAGCAGGGCAAUGGGCAAAGAGCUAAAGCUCUGUCACUUCCAACUAUGAUCCCAAUCUGGAUCAGGCAUGGAGAGUAUCACAUCUAGCUUUGCCUCUGAGGGGCUGAUAUUUUGAACUGAGUACAAAAUUUCAUGUGAAAAUCAGGGCUGGGUUAAUGUGCUACUAAGGAGGAACACACCUAAGCAAGAUCAGAGUAGGAAAAUAUGUCACCUGAUUAUUGCUGAACCUUUUUAUCUGCAUUAGUUGACUAGUUACUUCCUGCUAGGGAUGUAAGGAGCCAGCGAUUUCUGUCCCAUCCUUGCAAUCAGCGCUGUUUCCAUUCCACUACUCUUCGGCUUCUGCUAAAAUCUAUGUCAUUCACCUCACUAUUCACUAUGACCAAAAUGUAAUGUAACGAAUCAUUCAUUUCAUUAUGUGGUUAACUUCAGUACAUCUCAGUGGAAGGGAAACAUCAAAAACCAUGCAGAAAAUAACAAUUAUUUAUGCUGUGCUUGCAGACUAAAGACACAAUGAAAAAUACUGCUCAUAUUCACUUGUGUGAUUUGUGUUCCUGACCUCGGGCAGACAUGCAAAUUGUGGCAAUUUCGGCUCCCAUUUCUGUUUCUGACAGAACUCUUUGGCACCCCUGCUUCCUAUAUUAUUUUGCUGGACCCUUAAAGCUUGGAGUCACAUGACACUGAGCAGAGUUACACGGGGGUGCUUGGUUUGGAUGGAGUCCAGCCAAAGAGAUGAGAUAAUGGGAGCAGUAAUUAGCACAUGGGAACCUUGACGCCACACAACCUUGGACCUUGGGUGCAAGGAGAGGAACACAGGAAGCUGCCUUACAGUGAGUCAAACCAUUGUUCCACCCAGCUCUUUAUUGUCAACACUGAAUGGCAGGAACUUUCCAGGGUGUUAGGCAGGAGACCUUCCCAGACGUAACUGGAGGUUCUGAGGAGUGAAGCUGGGAUAUUCUGUAUUAUCAUGCCUGUGACCUGACACUGAGCUUUAGUCCUUUCCCAAGAUUGCAAAAGAAUUUCCGCUGUUUCUGUCAAGGCCACCACAGCAUUUGAACAAAGUGUCUUUUUUUCAAAAAGAAAAAAAGAGUUGUUUCUGGAUAUGAGAGAGGAGUCUUUUGCGAGGGAUGUUAACCUACAGCCAAUUUAAUGUCUGAAGCAAAACAAAUAUUCCGUGACUGUAUUGGGAAACCUAACUUGGAUUUAAAAUAAGGGGCGGGGGGAGGCUUGUAAUCAUAUUUGAAGGAUUUUCUAGCUUAUGCCAAAUCCAACAUGGGUUAAUUCACUUGACUUAGUUUUCCAAUCAGCACAAUCUUUUCCUGAGGCCUGGUCAGGAGGUGGUAGAUAAAUCCAUGACUGUGCCUCCCUCACUGACGGCUUUUCAGAAAAACAACAACCAUAAAAUCAUUGGGUAACUACAUAAUACAAAUAAUUUGUAAACCUGCCCCCCCCAAAAAGAUUGUAUGUCUACUGUCUUGCAUUAUGCCCCACAAAAUUAUGUAAAAAAGCUACUUUCAAAUUAAUGUAAAUUAAUCGGCAUAAGGAGAUUUGGAGUUAAUUUCUAUGGACUCUGUUUUCCGCUCCUUUGAUUCCUCAUCCAGAGCCUUAUCAUUUGACCUCUUCACCUCAGGAGAGGUUAAGCAGUUGCUGUUUUAACAUAACUGUGAAUAUUUUCUUUCUUUCUUUCUUUCUUUCUUUCUUUCUUUCUGUCUGUCUGUCUUUUUUUCAUAUCAUUUUUAUUAGUUUUACAAUAAUACUUUCCAUUGCAAUGUCUCCUCUUAUAUUACACAUUUUGGCUUUUUAGGGCCCUGACUUCCUUCAACCCUUCCUUAUUUAUACUGUUUUAUUGUUGUUAGCCGCCCUGAGCCCGGCUUCAGCUGGGGAGGGCGGGAUAUAAAUAAAAUUUAUUAUUUAUUAUUAUGAUUUUCUAUCUUUCAUUUCAAAUUUCUGCAUUUUCACUAUUUAACCAUUGCUUUAAAAUCAAAAACAUUAAAACAUCAUACAUUCUUAUUCUUAUCUGCAGUGGUUUUUGUACCUUACAAAGCUUCUUGCAAUCCUACCAAUGUAUUUGAUGGAAUACAAUUGUCUUUCAAAUAAUUUACAAAUUUGAUCCAGUCCUUGAUGAACUUUCGGUCCCACUGUUCUCGGAUUCUUCUUCCUUCUUUCCUUCUUGUUCCUAAUUAAAGCCAUUUUAGAUGCUACUGAAGCACAAAUAUUGUAGCUGUGUUGUACCUGUCAAAUACUUUGACUUUCUGUGAUGGUACUGUUGCACGCCACCCCAAACGCUGAGCGGUGAGAGAUUCUAAGGGUGCCAGGCCCUUAACCCAGGGUUUGCUUUCCUCAUAAUGAGGGACAAUACAUACUGUGGUGUCUUUAUGAUAUAUGGUUAUUUAUGCUUAUAUACAAAGUGAGCCUGACAUGGAGGGGCUCACAGCGUUCACACUCCAAGAGGGACUUGCUUCUCUCAUAGCCACAGCCUUGCGUCCAAACAGGAAUCAGGCAUGGCUCUGUCUCUCCCAGCUACCCAACCUGCUGCUUCUUGCUUCUGGAUCACACACACAACUCCACUCUGGCUUUUAUCUUUCUAACUACCUGUUUUUAAGCAUUCCCAAAGGCAGAAGUGGGAGCUAGCCAUAAACAUAGAUGGGAGAAAAAUCAAAUAUUUUACUGUCGCUAGGGUAAGGUACAAGGGUGACCUUUGCAUCCAGACCCAAAAUGAAGAGAAGAAAACUUAAACAUGGAGGGAAACACCUCUCCCCAAAAUGAGCUGACCAGGGCUGUGCGUGCUCACUGGGUACGUAAUACUGACUGCUCUGUGGAGGAGGAAAGCCAAGACAGGAAUGAAGGGAGUUGCUCCACCUGCCGAAAUAUACUCUUCUAUUAAAGGUAUAGAAUUAUUUUAUUUCAUUUUAUUUUUGCGUUGGACCACCCUAUCCUGAAGAAAAAUAGAUACAACCAUGAUGACAUCUAUUUUAUUUAACAGGUUUUACACACACUUACUAG
rnacentral:lncRNA from 1 species